rnacentral:rRNA from 1 species
AACGAACGCUGGCGGCAGGCCUAACACAUGCAAGUCGAACGCCCCGCAAGGGGAGUGGCAGACGGGUGAGUAACACGUGGGAACGUGCCCUUCGCUUCGGGAUAGCCUCGGGAAACUGGGAGUAAUACCGAAUACGCCGUAUUGGGAAAGAUUUAUCGGCGAAGGAUCGGCCCGCGUUGGAUUAGCUAGUUGGCGGUGUAAUGGACCACCAAGGCUACGAUCCAUAGCUGGUCUGAGAGGACGACCAGCCACACUGGGACUGAGACACGGCCCAGACUCCUACGGGAGGCAGCAGUGGGGAAUCUUGGACAAUGGGCGCAAGCCUGAUCCAGCCAUGCCGCGUGAGUGAAGAAGGCCUUAGGGUUGUAAAACUCUUUCGCCGGUGAAGAUAAUGACGGUAACCGGAGAAGAAGCCCCGGCUAACUUCGUGCCAGCAGCCGCGGUAAU